AUAGUUUGUAUUUCAAAAAGGUAAUUAAGCAGCUGAACAUUGAAGAUGUUGUGCUGCCAGAUAUUAAAAGUACACAAAACAAGAUGGUGCAUCAAGUGAAAGAGGCCCUGGAAAUGAGAAUGUACUGGAUGAUUUAAACGAGGAGGAAAAUAGUUCAAAUUGGUUGAACGAAGAGCAUGACGUACAGAUGGCCGAUGUGGAAGAAGAGCAUGGCGAACAGAUGGAUGAUGUGGAAGAAGAGCGUGAUCUUGGAAAUGAUGGUGGUGAUGAUGAUCUUGGGGAUGUUUUUGAUUGGUACUAGUUUAUGUUAAACACGGAUGCGAGCGUGAAUAUGAGUUGGUCUAGCUCUGCAUAACAGGGGUAGUUUUUAGG